UCCGGUUCAUCACCAGCAGUCUCUUUAGAGUCCCCGCCAUUACGCGUUGGCAACUAAAGAUAGGGGUUGCGCUCGUUACGGGACUUAACCCAACAUCUCACAACACGAGCUGACGACAGCCAUGCAGCACCUGUGUUCAGGUUCCUUUCGGCACUUCCGCAUCUCUGCAGAAUUCCUGACAUGUCAAGGGUAGGUAAGGUUCUUCGCGUUGCAUCGAAUUAAACCACAUGCUCCACCGCUUGUGCGGGCCCCCGUCAAUUCCUUUGAGUUUUAAUCUUGCGACCGUACUCCCCAGGCGGAAAACUUAUCGCGUUAGCUUCGAUACUAAUAGGUCAAGCCUACCAACAUCUAGUUUUCAUCGUUUACAGCGUGGACUAC
rnacentral:misc_RNA from 1 species